CCUACGGGAGGCAGCAGUGGGGAAUAUUGGACAAUGGGCGAAAGCCUGAUCCAGCAAUGCCGCGUGAGUGAUGAAGGCCUUCGGGUCGUAAAGCUCUUUUACCAGGGAUGAUAAUGACAGUACCUGGAGAAUAAGCUCCGGCUAACUCCGUGCCAGCAGCCGCGGUAAUACGGAGGGAGCUAGCGUUGUUCGGAAUUACUGGGCGUAAAGAGUACGUAGGCGGUUAUUCAAGUCAGAGGUGAAAGCCCGGGGCUCAACCCCGGAACUGCCUUUGAAACUAGAUAACUAGAGUCUUGGAGAGGUUAGUGGAAUUCCGAGUGUAGAGGUGAAAUUCGUAGAUAUUCGGAAGAACACCAGUGGCGAAGGCGACUAACUGGACAAGUACUGACGCUGAGGUACGAAAGCGUGGGGAGCAAACAGGAUUAGAUACCCUGGUAGUCCACGCCGUAAACGAUGAUAACUAGUUGUUCGGUCACUUGGUGACUGAGUGACGCAGCUAACGCAUUAAGUUAUCCGCCUGGGGAGUACGGUCGCAGAUUAAAACUUAAAUGAAUUGACGGCUGAAGAGUGCGAGNGACACGAGGAGAGG
rnacentral:rRNA from 1 species